UUACGGCCAUAGCACGUAGAAACACCGGUUCCCGUAUGAUCAUAGAAGUUAAGCAACAUCGAGCCUGGUCAGUACUUAGAUGGGUAACCGCUUGGUAAUUCCAGAUACUGUAA